AAGUCAUUCCCAUGCCAGUCCGCCAAGCAGCGUCCUUCGGCUUUUGAGUGCUCUUCGUUCUUUCCAUAUUCUAGUCCCCUCCUUUCCCUCUUUCAUCCUCUGCUACUACUUUGCUUCUUAUCUAGUCGAGUGUGAUCGGCUCCUCGCCCCGUCGUCGUCCUUGGCGUCUCUGAGUUUGUUUUCUCUACGGCGAGGCGCGGAGAAGGGAUUCCACUGCAUACUCGGCUACCCACAACGGCGCAGAUACGCGCAUCCCACGAAACGCCCACCACCCCUGUCAUAUACAUUUACACCGGUGGCUGUGCCUUGUGCUUUUCUAGAUCACCAUCGCCGCCUACAGCUGCGCACACAAUCUCGCCCUCUCUUCCAUUCUGGGAAGUUGCGCACACGUGCGUGCGCUUCGCGGUGGCCCCCCUCUUUCUUUUCCAUCUCCCCUUCUCUUGCACCCGAGAGGUCUGGUGCGAGCCUUCAGUUGCCCAUUGUAGCGCGUGUCUGCUUCCCCUCGCUGUUUGCGUAACUCCGGCGCUGCGCACCGACGUCGCCUCACUCGCGCCCUUUGCUGUUCUCGCCUCCAUUCCCAGUUUUCGUGGUUCUCUUGUUGAGGGUUGUCUCGCCCUGUCUCCAGUGUCUGUGUCUAUUCCAUCUUACCACGCACACACAUACACACGCUUUCUUUUCCUUCUCUGCGUUCCUGUCGCGUGGCUCUCUCUACGCGAGUCGCUAUUUACGUUUGUGAUGAUGUCGGCCUGUCCGCAGUGUCCAUCCCAGGCUUUCUACUUCGCCACUCACUAACCCCCCCCCCACACACACACUCACACACACUCCACUGAGGUUCUACGCUCAUAGAAGCUCAAUCGGAAGAUCAGGCUUGCACCUCGUGUUUCAUGCACCUGGCGCGGCACUCAAACACACACACGCCCACACAACCUGAAGCAACGCGGAGCAGCAGCAGCAUCGUCAACCGCGCUCCUUCCACAGUGGCCACCCUCCCCGCCAUUUUCUUUCCUUUCGCUCUUCGUGCACCGCACUGUAACUGUUUUCGUUUGUGCUCUCCUUUCAUUCUUCUAUAGCGCGGCAUCUCUCUUUUGUCCCCCGUCCCACUUCACCUUCCCACGCCCCUUGCAGCCCCGCUGAUCGGCGGCGCUAGAUGCGUGCUUGUUUCACUGGCCGUGGGCGAAUCCGUAAGGAAGUCGAGAAGGACAGGUCGCUGCGUGGGGGGGGGGCGAGAGAGAGGUGGCGGCGAAGCGUGAGCACAAUGAACUUUGUGAACACCUACCUGCUUCUUCCACUGCAGCGCAAGAUUUUCAAAAACUUUGGCCACUAUGACUACCAGACGAGCACGUUCCACCUCAACGAGGAGCGGGUGAAUGAGGUUUUCUUCGACCCUGCGUAUAAUCCGUUUGUCGACGUGCUGCGCGAGACGUCGCACGCGUCGGCGGUCGCCUCGUCCAAGGCGGCAGCGGCGGCGGCACAGCAGCAGCAGCACCAGCGUGCCUUCUCCUCUUCUACUGUGCGAAGACGGAACACCACGAGCGAUGCUGAUGCUGGUCUUUCAGCGUCUCCUUCGCCGCCGAGUCAAUCCUGUAGUGGGUCGGUGAACAGUGAAGCCGCAGCGACAAAGGCGGCGGAAGAGGCGGAGGGGAACAAUGAAUUCACUGCCGGCGUACCGCACGGCCCCCUGGUGCGACUGCUCAGAGGCAAGAUUCGCUCCGCCGGGCUUGUGUCGUUCCUACGCCAAGUCACGACGCAGAAAUCGCUGUCGGUGGAGUCAAUGGAUUUGGUCUUUGACGUAGCCACCGCGGCGAUCUCGGACUCUACUGGCGACUCUCACACAGACGCUCCCUCUCUGGUGACCCGGCCCGCGGGUGUGCCGCAAGAUGCGGAGGACGAUACUGCACGUCUGCGAGACGGUGCUUCUCUCCCAGACCCAGGAGUGGCAGGGCUGUCUGUUGCGGAAGAAGGCGAUGAGGUGAAACCUACGCAGCCGCCCUUGUACUCGUCGAGGCGGCUUCGGCGCGACGAGAUGGCGAAGCUGGCACGUUCGUACUCCAUUGAGGACCACUCAUGGCUACACAGCGAGGCGGAGAAUCAACGCAACUCACCCGACGCGACAGGGGCGGACUUUGGUGACUUGGACGCGGACGCUGGGUCGCUAACCGCUGAUGGCGCUGCGAGGCCGGCAAGCCCCAAAGAAGGCCCCACGACACAGUUUCACACCGUGGGGGACCUGAUGACAUACCUUAAGCAGCAGCUGCAGGGCGUGGCGGUCGGCGUAGAGGAGGUGCGUCUCACCUUCUGCAUCCCACCCGUUGGGGCCGCCGGGUCACUCCUGCGCAGCACAGAGUCCGCGAGCCGCCGCAGCGGCCGAUCGCAUGUGGGCGCACGGGCAAGUGCUGCGGCGGCACCGCUGCGCGUGCGCAGUGGCACACGUGUGUUGCAUCUGUCGUGUCGUCGAGGGCUACGCUUCACGGUGGACGAGUCCACUGGGGCAUCGGUGGAAGACAUGCAGUGCACGGCGAGCAUACAGGAUUGGCAGUGCUACGUUCACGUCAUGGCCAGCGAUGGCCCGCUGCCGUCGGAGUUCUCCCUAGACGACUUGGUUUUCACGACGUCUACGGCGCUCACCGCGGGUAGUGCAGAGCAGCCGCCGGGGGCAACAGCGAGGGAUGACAGCGAGCCCGCUGCUGGGGCACCCUUCACGGUGCGCGUCGCUCGUCGAGGUGCCGGCGCAGCUGCCAACGCCAUGUGUACUUCGCCUUCCACUUCGCUGGUGUCUGCAGACGUGCCACCGCCGCCGAAGGUUCUUGUAGACGUGGACGCCGCAGAAGGUUGGAGCAUCGUCCUUUCUGCAGUGCAGAUAGCGCACUUGGUGGGCAUGAUGAGGCACGUGAUGGGCGGUACGACGGAUUCUGAUGAGGGCGUGAUUUCCGCAUGCAGUCUCUCUUCCCUCUCUUCGGCGGAGGAACCUGCCAGCACAGCGGGAGAGCUGGAAAAGCCGGUAGCGGCGGUCCCAUUAGAUUCUGACGAGGCCGUCACUGCUGCCACCCUGACCGCCGCACAGCUGCGCGCCGCCGCCAAGUACGUGAGCGUGCAUUGUGGUGGGUGUUCUAUCAGCUUGCUGACGAGGUCCGUGGUCGACGCCAACGCUGUGGCGUGUGCGUGGCGCUGCGCGCUUUCCUCGCAGCAGCUUGCCCUUCUCGACCCGCGGGCGACGGACCCUUUGCAGCAGCCGACUGCUGCUUUAACCCUGCCCGUGUACGAAGCCCUCACCACGCCGCACUUCACGUAUGUCAUGCGCGAUGUGGACAUACUCUUUCCAAACAUCGAUGCCGAGGCGCCCUUGUCAUCGUCCACGUCGUCGCCGACUGCCAGGGGUGUUUUCCAGCAGUCGGCGAGGAAGCGGAAGAUUUACCGACGCAUCUUCGACAACAAACUGGCCGACCCCGCCGUGACGGCGCAGCUUGCGCGGGCACGCGCUGCCGCGGGAAGCUUCAACAGCGGCGGCGGCGUGAGUUUUUUCCUUGGCGUCGGGUCGAUCUCUUUCUUGGAGUACCGCCACGCCACCGCAGCGGCCGGGCAACGCAAUGCAGCGUCGUCUUAUUCGUUUACAGCUGCUGAAGUACGUGGCCUGCCGCUCUCGUCGCCGUUGCUGGCGCACUCACUGCGACCUGCGAAGCUGAUGCACGCAGAGCGCAGCCCAUACGCUUUGGUCAUCUUCCACCGUUCCACACCGCCACUGCCGGAUCAACCGCCUGCCGCGGGAGUACUGGCCCCGCCUCCGUCACCUUGCCUGCGCAUCUACCAGGAGACUGUUGUCGUUGGUGUGGCCAAGAUCUCCGUCCAACUUGACGCAGAACUGUUUGAGGUUCUCGCGAUGUACGGCACCACUGUCGAGGAGCUGAUCCGCCGCGUGGGCUGUCUGCAGCAGGGGGGCAGAGGGGAGCCAAAUCGCACGGCAGAGGCUCUGACCGGCGCCACAGGCUUGUCAGCUCGCAGGCUCUCUUCGCCGCCGUCACCAACGCUGCUUCCAUCGCGCGUGAUCCGCACCCGCAGCUCCGUCAAGGUGCUCCUGGAGAGUGUCGAUGCGUCGAUUCGAUUCCCUGUUCACCCGAACGGCACCACAACCUCACCUGAGACCCCACCUGAUCCCGCGGAUGGCGUGUCUGCAUCUACCGCAUCCCCCGCCUCAGCUGCAGCCGAACCACAGUCGUUGCUGCUCGCACGCCUUCUGCAGCGCUUACGAGAGUCGAGUUUCGACACCCAUCGUCAUAACCGUGCACUCCUCCGCCGCCGAGCGCGGCAGGCGAGGGGCGACGGAGACCGCGUGGCGGCAUCGCCCACAACGGCAUCGACAAAGCUGGCGGAGGAGGCGGCGGUUGCCUCAGCGAUCGUCGUACAGGAGCAGCUUGGGUUUCCCGAGGACGUGGACACGCGGGCGCGCUUCCUGCCGGAGUUGCUGAGCUUUUCGCUGCGCGAUUUGCAGGUGGUGCACACGCCGUCCGCGACCAAAGUUGCUCACAGCGCCGAUGUGGCCACACCCGCUGCUGUGGUUUACACACCCGCGAGUACGUCGGCCAAAUGGCGUGAGGCGGUUGUGUACCUGCAAGAUAUCCUCGAGCAGACCAAGUCGGAGCUGUUUCGAGUGGACUACAGCCACGAGAUGAACAUCAACGUGACGCACACCUGUCUUCCUGGUCUUGCUGGAGGCUCGUGGAGAGCUUUGGAACGCGUUCUGGCGCUGCAGAUACGGCUCGGUGAAAUCACGACGACCGCACUAACGCAGGACGACUAUCUGCUCGCAACUCACUACGUGAAUGAGCUGCUAUUGACGCUAUCGCGGUGCCGCCAGCGCCUGCACGCCGGAAGGGUAGCCACAGCAGCGAGAGAGCCGGGCAGCAGCGCACCACCGCGUGGCCAGGCACCUGUUGUCAGUGUGGCUUCUGGGCGUUCAGACGGCCUCCCUGUCCCCGACGAAGCGGGCGCGGCAUCGGUGGAUGCCUCGGAUGAAAGUCGGUGCUUGAACACAUCUGGCGGUACCGUUCGGCCUAACGAGUGCCGCGAAGAGCCGGUCGAACAUCCUGCCGGCUCCGCCGCAGAAGCCUUCGCCAUGGCAGAUGCAGUGACCACGAGCCGCGGCUGUGCCGGAGCGAGGGUGAGCGGGUGCGCCGCGGGCGACGACAUUCAGGAUGAUACUUCCAGGCUCAAAUCUCGAGGCAGCAGCGAUGGCGGCGACAGCGCAGAUCCGCUGUCGAACGCUGUGCCAGAGCUGUGGCGCCUCUUGGACACGACGUGCACAUCACUUGACGUGCGUGUCAGUCGCAUUCGUCUGGGGCUCUUCGCGCCUCGUCUCUCGCCGAUGGGCCAGGUGGUCGGGGAGCCGCUUUACCGGUGUCUGCCGAGGUCGCAGCGGCGCUGCCUCGUCGACUUGAACUGUCUCUACCACCUUUACAUCAUGGAGCUCGUUGACGUGUCGGUGCGUGGGCUGAGCGGCGACGGCGCCCUCGCCAAGGCUGGGCAGGCAAACUACGCACGUGUUCGAUUGGGCGGUUUCUCUUUGUGGGAGCGGCAGCCGGCUCCGGCGCCGCCACACACGUCCACCGAUGGUCGCGACGCUGGCGGAGGGGCAGGGGCGGCGGCAGCGUCGCCGCUUUACAAGAGCUACGCAUCCAAUUCCGUAGGCUCUGGCGGUGCGCCACCCGUGUCGCACGGUCUGGGGGGAGGCACGUGCAAAGACUUGGCUUACUAUAUGCCGAAUUCUCAGGCAGCUCACCCUGGCCACCGACGUGCCGGCACUCUGGUGCAGCUUGUGCAGAGCUACACAGAGGUGCGAGGCAACGAAGAGGAGGGGGAUGACAGGUGCCACGGAGAUGCGAGUGACACGACCGAAGGCGAUGACGACAGCGGCGGUCAGUGGGUUAGCCACAGCUCACGCGUGCUGUCCGACGUUUGGGGCGCCUACGUUCGAGAGCUCCAAUCGAUCGCCACAACGGCUGGACGAGCCGCGCACGCACCGCUGCCCACCGUUCGUGAGAGCGGUGUGUGCGAGGUGCGUCUCCUCGAAAUGGCGAGGGUGCCGCCCAUCGCAACCGCGGCGCACUCCUGCCACACUACGCCGUUCGUGCCCACUGCUUUUUCCGCUGCACUGGUUCCGCCCAACAGGCGGCAUUUGUGGCUGCAGCUAACUGGCUUGGGUCUUCAUCACGCUGUGGCAUACAACGGCGAUCAUCUGGCGGCGGUACUGAAGCAAUACUUCAGCGGUGGCAACGGGACUGUUGCCCCGGCGGCGUCUGCUGUACGAAAUGGCGGCGAGGCGAGGGGCGUGGCUGAGGGGCUUUCCACGCUUGCUUUCCCGGAGGAAACGCUCUGGACGACCAAAGUGCACGUGAGCGUUGCCAACCUCAUGGCCACGUAUCGCCCUCGCGGCGCCGGCCGCUCGCUGGCGGUAUUGCUGCUCCCGCGUGCUUCGGUGCUGAUAAAGCUGCCCGUGGUAGUUCCGGCGUUGCCGCCGUCAGCGGAAGCGCAUGGGACCGCCAUACCACCUGAAGAGCUACGACGCGGCAGCGCUGCAGUGAUAUCGCCGGCGACGUCGGUGCCAUCACCUGCCUCCGAAGACGUCUCCGCUCCACUGACGAUGCGCGCGCAGGCAUGGCUGCACACGUCGCUACCGCUUUACGUGUGCAACGACUGUGACGUGGAGGCACUUGUUCGCGAGGUGCUCAACCCCGCCGAGAGUGACGACUGGGGUGUUGACCUGGAGAGCGCCGGCUUUGUGCGUCUUUGCGAGGUGAUUUCUACGGCCGCCUGCUCCUCCUCGUCCUCGUUCGCCGCGGAUAUGCAGCAGAGCACUGAUGACGCCGGUUCACCCAGCAUGGGCAAAUCGGCUUCGUGCUCGCGAACGCCAAACCUGAUCCUCACGGUGCGCUCGAAGAGCUUAAGCGCAUCGGCGUCAGGAGCCCACGGCGGCGGUGACACAAGAGAGGAGGGGGGCUCCAUCGACUACGCCUACUUGGCGCCGGCUGUGUCGAUGCAUCUGCAACAUAUCGAGCUCUCCGCGUUCAUGGCGAAGGAUUCGUUCGAGGUGUUCCGCGAGCUUGUGGAGGCGUGGGGAUCAGGGGCUGAUCUGCAGGCGACGGAUGCACCGGCAGCGCUCGUCAUGCGCAGCGGGCCCGGCUUUGAGUGGGUGGCGGAGGAGGUGGCGCGCAGCUGCGCUCCCAUGACGUUUCGUGUGAACCCUUACCUCGUCACCAGAGACAGGGCAGCGGAGGAGGAUGCAAGCAGUGGGGGGCUUCGACCUUCUCCAGUCGGUGCGCCGAUGAUGCGCACCAUUGCGAGCGUCGACGACUACACGUCGCACUACCCAUUUCUGCCGUCGACCACGUCGUUGCAGGCGUCUAGCGACUUUGAAUCGCCCUGGACGGCGCCGGAAAAGUCACAGCUAGGCCCCUCUACUGGCGUUGGAGGCUAUAACGCCUCUUACUCGGCUUUUCGGAGCAGCGCGAGCGCGUAUGGGUACAGUCAUUGGCUUGAUGCCCUACACGCUUCAUACGGACGAGACCCACAGCUCUACGACACGUACCAGAAACGCGCUGCCGAACUCCUCGAUGGUGCGCCGUGGGUGCCGCAGCACCAACGAGUACACUCUACCUCCUCGAACGCAAGCGGCGUGGAGCAAGAGAGAACGCGACGCGGACGAAGCAUGUCCCCGCUGCCUGCGUCGUCCGCUGAUGCCGUGCCGCAGUCCCGGCGCUAUGAUGAAGUCUCAGACACCAUUUCCGUAUCAAGUGACGACGAUGACGAGCUGACGGCCGAGGAAGGCGCGGCGGCAGUGGUGCCGACGCGCGGCGUACGCGGCGCGCAGGGAGGAGCACCAUUUCAGUUACCUCGGCCGCCACUACCGAGGGUGGCUGCUGCUGGUGCUGCGAUCUCCUCUCUGUCCUCGUCCUUUUCCGAUCUGGAGGAUACGGUAGCGUCUGAAGCACAGCUGCGAUGGUGCGUUCUACCGUCCGAGGAUCCGGCUGCAUCGUCGCUGCUGCCCUCUGGCGAUACCCGUCAUUGCGGAGACCGUGCCGACUCCGAUGCCGUCGCCGGCGACCCAGGCGCAGCCGCAGAGCGGCGCAUUGACCUAUUCGCUGCGUGCGACCGGCAGCCGCACUUCCUCAGCUGCUGGUCGCGCGAGCGUGUCGAGGCGGCACGGCAGAGGCGUGCCGUGCGUCUCAACCGACUCGACUGCACCGAUGACGCCCUCCUUCACGACACCCCGGAGAAGUACCUCUACCCGCCGGUCGAACUUGAGUUCUUCUUGAGCGACUGCUCCCUCAACCUCAGCUUGUAUGAGGGAACAGACUUGAUGUCGGCAGCGGUCCGAAAGCAGCGGCGAGGCUAUCUGCAGAUCGUCUCGCGAGGCGCGAGCGUGGCGCAGGCGGCACCGUACAUCUUCGGCGGCGACAGACGGUCAGAGGCGGCGCUGCGCGCAAGGAGCAGCAACAGCGCCAGCGCUGACACAGCUGUGCCGUCCGUCACGGCGUACACGCCGGCGCUAGCGCAUGAUUCAUCGCACUCCCCAGACGGACGGACGAAGCCCUCGCUUUCGCGUUGCAGCUACGCGACAACCAUAGGCACCGGCGCUACGUGGUCCUUUCACACCAUCAGCGGGGAGUCCUCGACAUCACGGCUCGAGCGUUUGCACGAUCGUGGCUGCCGCAGUGGCUUUGGCGACCGUGAUGCAAGCAAGCGGCUUGUUCUCAGUUGCCGCGGCAUCACGGUCCAGAUGGACACUUUUCCUCAAGGCUCGGAGGAAGACUUGUGGUUCCACGUCGUGGUGGGGGAGGCAACGGUGUUCGACUGCAUCAACACCAGCGAUGUUCAUCGCCUGCUGACCGCCACGCCGAAGCCGCCGGCGUCGCUCGCCGCGCAGCCGAGGAGAGGCAGCGGUGCUGCACGCUGCCAUGUUGACAUGCCUGGCGUCCAGGCUGACAGCGGCUGCAGUCGCGGUGGAGCAAACGAUGCGCGACAGCUAGAGUUGACUGGGCUGCUGACCUCGUCAAAGAGCGUGCUUGCGGCGGCGAGCGGAGGUAUGAGGGAGGCGUCUCGUGCGUCCUUCACCGUCUCCCAUUUUCAGCAGGGCGGCAGUGAGCUUUCGCUGGCGGUUCGGCUGCAACCGACGUCGCUGACGUGGAGCGGCGCCUCCGUCGACUUUGCGCAGUCUUUCUUCUCCACUGCGUCGGCAUCGCCGCCCUCGUCGCCAGCCAACAGCAAAGGCGCAGCAGCGAUUGCUGCGUCCUCGCCGUCUGUGCCGGCGGCUGAGGCAGGCACCAUUUCCGGCACCGAGGCACCGCCUCUCUUCUACCGCCGUGUGGUAAUCCUUCCCACAACGCUGACCGCCGCCGGCUCCUUCCAGAGCGACAAGGGGGUUCUGGCUGCUCUUGCAGAGGGAAACUCGUUUGAUGCCUUACGCAGUAUACCGGUGCUCUCGUGGAUUUCGCUGCAGGAGAUUCCGCUCCCAAUCCCGUUCAUGCGCGUCGAGGACUGCAGCAGCGCCGCGACGCUUCUGCAGCGCAUCGUGGAAGACUCGAACUGUGUGUCGAUCCGCUUUUUGCUGACGGCGUGCUGCUGUGGGCUGCAACCACUCUCCGCUGUGACACGUGUGGGCGAGGCGGCAAAGGGCCUUUUGCUGCUGCCGCUCUCGAACUACCGCGGCGCUGCGCUGCACCACGCGAUCCGCACGGCGUCUUCUGUGUUCAUGCAGGAGCUGCUCACGCAAGCGUCGGACAUGGCAGCGUUGCUGGCGAGCGGGUCCUACCAUGCAAGUCGCUCGCUCCUCGAGGUACUCGUGGAACCGCAACAUCGCGGGCUCACCAUAGAAGAGCCGUCGCGUGCUUCCCAACCCGCCGGCGUCGCGGACGGCUGGCGGCAAGGCCAAGAGCAGCUGCGUGUUGGACUGCAGGAGGCACUCACCAUGGCAAGCUACUGCACCGGCCCAGACGGGAGCCUUCUGCGCGUCCCCGCAGCGGCGCUGCGCCUGCUCAUGGGUGUGUCCGGCGCGGCGACGACAACCCUCUGGGGUGUUCGGAAUAGUCAGGGCAGUGCGAUGCGUGAGCGAGAUGGCCACAUCUACAAGAAGAAGUCUUGAUAGAGUGUUUCCUCUUUCCCACCUCAUCAUGCCGUCCGAAUCGUGUUGGUGAAUGCCGUCUCUGUGUUGCCCACCCCUUUCUGUGCAGUUGGUGCGCGCAUUCGCUUGUUGUCCCUCUUCUUUUUAGUUUGUAUUUUGUUUUGGUUUUGGCGCCACCAAGUUUUGUGUCUUUUAUCUUUUUUUUUUGUUUUCGCUCCGCCUGCUUUGUCUUCGCUGUUCUUGAUGUGCUGCUCUUUAUUCUUCUCGUUCGCUUGCUUUGCGAUUUUUCAUGUGUUUGUGUUGGCUUGUGGGCUGGCGAGCAUCUCUUCGUUUCCGCGUCCUGCCGUGGGACGCCGCCCUCCCUCCCCUCCCUUCCUCCCCGCUUUGCCGCCCCGUGCACUGUCUCUUGCAUUUUCUCUCGUUUGCGUUCGGAUACCUCAGACUCUUAUAUAUGCCGUCAGCGAGUCGGAGACUUAGACAAAAAAAAAACGUUGAUGGAGCUGCCUCGAUGCCGCCGCACACCAUUUUCUUGCGAGACUGUGUGCGUAGCCCGCUCCUCUCGUCGCACGAAGGCAACGCAUGGAAUUACAGAUGGAUAAUUCCUUCUUCGCCUUUACCUGCUGCCGUACAACCGGUUACGCAGUUGCAGAAGAUAAAGGUGCAUCUCAGCC
rnacentral:misc_RNA from 1 species